UUCAUUCAUUAGGCUUUUGAUCAGACUCAGGGCUGUCCACUGCAUAAACGCGACGCACCCGCCCAAAUGGGCAUUGAGGCGCCGAACCACAUCUUGUGUCCACAGGUUGGUUUGGGGGUCAAAGGGCCCCAGAGGGGCCACUCGGGAAUGAUCCCUCCGCAGGUUCACCUACGGAGA
rnacentral:misc_RNA from 1 species